CUUGAUACAAGUCAUUUGACUGCGUUGUUCUAUCACCAUCUUCAUUCGCCAUUAAAGGUACUCUAAACCGCAGAGUUCUUCUCUUCUAGAAAUUAUUUUAGAAACAUUUUCUUUGUUUAUCUUUACUUUAUUGUUUAGUACUUCUAAUUUAAUUCAAUCAAUUGCUGGAAAAGCGGCAUCGUGAUUUUUCAUGGAAAAAAUUGAAUUGAUGCUUCCUGAGACCAGCUAUAUCAACGCUCGAUCAUCUGACAUGGUGGCUUGUAUCUUUUUCAAUCAUUCCACCUUUGUCCCGAUCUGAUACAUUUUACCUUUAGUUUUCCUUUUCUUAAUUUUUAAUUAUUUAUUUCUCCAUUUGUUUUUUCAAACUAAUUAUAAUUGAAUUUCGAAAAGAAUUGGAUCCAGACUUAGUCAGGUGUCAGAGUUUGAUUUAAUCAAGUAGCUGAUGCAGUUACGAGUCUGGUAAAUUGAAUUAGGGCCUAUCGUUACAGAUGUUUAUUUUACGAUGUUUACAUCUGCUCCAUUUAGGUUCUACAUUUCAAAUCGAUAAUUAUCUCUAUAUUUAUCAGAAUUAGUUUUGAAUUGGCUGCAAAUGAUAACCUUAUAAUUUAUUAGUAACAUUUGUUUUUUAAUUGGAAUUAUCGACAUUAUUAGUAAUACUCUUAUCAGUUUCUAUUCUAUCAAUCCCAUUGCAAAUCAUGAAUCCUUGAGUUAUAUACUAGCACCAUUCUUCUGGUGAAGAAGUUGAUGAAACUAAUGGUUUGAUAAUAGGCACAACAUCUUAAAUCAUCGAUCUAUUACCGUUUAUUCGUUUGAACAUUCAAAAACAGUAUUUUCUUUCCUAUUCUUAUACUUCUAGUAUUUACUUUUUGGUACUGUUUACGAUUAACUUUUAAUUUCUAUUUAAUUGAUAGUUUAUAAUUUAAAAUAUAAUUGAAUUGAAUGUGAUGAUGAUUGGUUUAUCUCAAUAAAAAUUUUAUUGUUAUUAAUUUUUAAAAAUUUUUAUUCACAAAUGAAUAUAAAUAUUUAAUGUUAAAAUUGUUCAUUUAAUUAAUAUGUAUAAUUCAAAUGUAAAAUCUGAAUAAAAUAGAAUAAAAGUAUAUUUCGUUUUUCCUUUUUUUUUCCACUAGUUCGCAUAUAGUUUGAAAGAAAGAUAGUGAUAAUGAGACUUGAACUUUAGAUUUUUAACUUAUUAUGGCCUUGGCAAAGAAUAAGAAAAUUUGAACAAACUAAGAAAAAUACAUAAAAAAAAGUUACCAAAAUAGGUUUCAGAAAAACUUAAUUCCCGAUAUAAGCACGUAAAUCUCUAAAUUUGAGUUAGGAGGCUGCCUGCUGUCACUAACAGCGGAUCAUAUGCGAACAAAAAAUUUGAUUAAGGUAUAUGGGAAAAUAAUCGUUCGCUCUUAAUAAGAGCGGACCAUUACACAUCCAAAAGUUAACAACAGUUAAAAAAGUCAAUCCAAUUGCCCGCUAUUACUAUAAGCAGGCGAUUGCUUUGCAGAAUUUUUUGACUCAAUUUUAGUAAUUAUCAGUUGUUUCUAAUAGCGAACAAAUUCAUACCUUAGAAAUCACUUUGGCUGGAGAUGAUUAUUUUGGAAAAUGUGUCUUGGAACAAAUUAAUCUAUAACAUUUUCAAUAUCAACAUCCUCGAAAUCACUUUCAAUUGCCAUUAGUACACGCCCGUUUAGCUUUUCUAGUGAAAUAUCCAGGAUAGCAAAUAUGAUUUCAACAAUUUUCGCUGAUUUCAACAAUUUUCGCUUGGAAAAGCUUCGAUCUGGUAGAUGCAAUAAGGAUAUGAAUAGUCAAUAAAAUUCUAUAAGCAAUUGUUGCAUUUGGGAAGCAAGUAAAAGAUUUUAUAAUUUAUAAUAUAUGUAUAUAAUAUGUCAAUUGCUCUAGGUGUGUUUGGUUGCAUCAUUUUUAAUGGUAUGGAAUGGUAUCACAACCAUUCCAAUGUUUGGUUAGGCAUUUUUACAUUGGGAUGUCAUACCCUUUGGAUUCUCAUCUCAUUUCAUUCCUUAGAAUCCCAUACCCUCCUAACCCCCCAAGAUUCAACAUCCAUUCCAGCCAUAUUCAAACCCUCAAAUCCUCAUUCUCCUUCAUCCUGUCUCGUCUCACUGCUCUUCUUUCUUUCUGUCUUACCUUCGCUGUUCCGUCCCAACCAUCGCAUAUCCACCUCCUUGUUGCACUCUUGUUGCUGCCCUAACCACCGUCACCCGCCGAUUUCAUAUGGUACUUUGAAUUAAUAUCAAGAUGGCUGGGAUUUCAAGUUUUGGUGCCCUUGCACCCAAAACUAAGAACCUGAUCGUUGUGGGGGGACUGACUUCGUUUGUUUUUGGAGUGUACUUUUACACAAUGCGAGCUGUUGGAGGUACCGAUGAACUUCAGGUGGCCAUUGACAAGUUUGAAGACCAGAAACACCAGAGUGAGUCCAAAGCAAAUUAGGGAUACAUGCUCAAUCAUGCUGUGCACUCCUGAUUUGGCAUCAUGCUGAUUUGGCAUCAUGUACUAGACUUUGUGUUUUGUUGUCAAAAACAUAUAUUGGAAUCUUUUUGUGUAGAGAUGUAUUGACACCAUUUUGAGUGAAAAUAUAUUGAACUAGUACUUUGUGUGUAUGUAUUUGUGUGUUUAAUAAA